rnacentral:tRNA from 1 species
ACUCCAGUAACUCAGUUGGUUAGAGUGCUCGGCUUAUACCCAAGUGGUCGGGGGUUCAAGUCCCUCCUGGAGUA